rnacentral:lncRNA from 1 species
AUGGUUUCUUUUAGAAACAGUUUAAUAAAGCGCAUAUAUGGAUGAUUUAAAACCCAGCGUCCCUUGAUUUGUUCAGCUUAUAUGUGAAAAUAGAAACAUAAUGGUGUUAGAGUUCAUUUGAAGUAAGAUGAUGAAAUGUUGCACAUAGUGUAUUUCUGUCGGAGUUUAAAACUGAAAUAGUGCCGUUGCAGGAAUCAGCUUUCAUAUAUCUUACAGUAUUAUUAACCAUUAUUAUCCUAGUUUCUUGUCCGUAACACAUGCAGUGCUGGCUGCACUCUGUUCUGGUUUUUAUAUUUUGUAGGUAUUCUUAAUUUUUUGUUUUAUAAGAAUCAUGAAUGUUUAUGUGCUUAAAUAUCAGCAUAAAUGGAGCUUGAAAUGUAAAUACACUUAAUAGCAUUUUGCAGUUAUUGUUCUGAGCUAUUGUCAGAAUAGGCUUUUACAUCAAUAUUAGUUCAUGUUUUCUAACCCCGCAAUAUUAACCUGCAGCGAAGACAACUCUUCAUUGUGACAGAAGAAAUUGCCUUAAAGAGAUGUUUUCACAUUAAUUUAAGGAAUUCUUUGUACUCUAAAAGUGAAUACCUUAUAUUUUCAGUCAAUUAGGUAUUGAGAUGCUUUAAUUUUAUGCUAAUAAAGUAACAAUCAUUACACUUCUGAUUUUCUUUGNUUUUUUUUUUUUUUUUUUUUUUUUUUUUUUUAUGGAUUACUCCCUGGAAAGAGUUGGGGGGAUAUAAGCAAAGAUGUUGCUACUGUAUCUAAGCUUCAAAUGGAAGUGCUUGAAAUAAAUGUGUAGCUUCAUUGUCAUUUUCUCUUUUUUAGCAGAAACAGCCUGUGCAACUGAGAACAAAUAAUGGAAGGUUUCAUGGGUGUAGAGAUGACUAACCUAGCUCAAGAGCUGUAUGUUGUGCAAAGGAAUUGGAACAAUUCUUAGAAAUUUUCCUCAAAUGACCAGGAGAUGAUAGAGGAUUUGUUGAGGCAAUAACCUGAAAAAGUCUUACAAGCUGGGAAAAGCAGGCGUUCCAGGUGGCUGGAAAGAUUGGAGAGGUGAGAAGCAGCUUUCAGGAGCUGGUUGCCUGCAGAGCAUGGGCAUUCUGCAAAGUGAGGACCAGGAGGCAAAAGAAAUGUCUGCUUGUGUGUGGGAUCACAACACAGGUUGCAUUACCUAAUUUUUGAGCCCCCAGGA